AUUGAACGCUGGCGGCAGGCCUAACACAUGCAAGUCGACCGAGUGGCGGACGGGUGAGUAAUGGCUGGGAAACUGCCUGAUGGAGGGGGAUUACUGCUGGAAACAGUAGCUAAUACCGCAUACCAUCGGCUGUGCCCGGAUUGGAUUAGCUAGUUGGUAGGGUAACAGCUUACCAAGGCGACGAUCCCUAGCUGGUCUGAGGGGAUGACCGGCCACACUGGAACUGAGACACGGUCCAAACUCCUACGGGAGGCAGCAGUGGGGAAUCUUGCACAAUGGGCGAAAGUCUGAUGCAGCAAUGCCGCGUGUAUGAAGAAGGUUUUCGGGUUGUAAAGCUCUGUCAGCGGGGAGGCGUUACCCGAUGAGGAAGCCACGGCUAACUCCGUGCCAGCCGCCGCGGUAAUAC
rnacentral:rRNA from 1 species